rnacentral:rRNA from 1 species
CCUACGGGAGGCAGCAGUGGGGAAUAUUGCACAAUGGGGGAAACCCUGAUGCAGCGACGCCGCGUGAAGGAAGAAGUAUUUCGGUAUGUAAACUUCUAUCAGUAGGGAAGAAAGUGACGGUACCUGACUAAGAAGCCCCGGCUAACUACGUGCCAGCAGCCGCGGUAAUACGGAGGGGGCAAGCUUUAUCCGGAUUUACUGGGUGUAAAGGGAGCGUAGGCGGCGAUGCAAGUCAGGAGUGAAGGUCCGGGGCUCAACUCCGGGACUGCUUUUGAAACUGGAUGGCUAGAUUGCAGGAGAGGCAAGUGGAAUUCGUAGUGUAGCGGUGAAAUGCGUAGAUAUUAGGAGGAACACCAGUGGCGAAGGCGGCUUGCUGGACUGUAAAUGACGCUGAGGCUCGAAAGCGUGGGGAGCAAACAGGAUUAGAUACCCCAGUAGUC